GUCACUGUCACACACUGCCACUGCCACACUGCCACUGUCACAGUCACACUGUCACUGUCACACUGCACAGCCACUCCUGGCAGUGUCCACAGGCAACACCUCGGUGUUCUUGCACUCCCGAGUGAGCUCCAGCGAUUCUGACACGGCGCCGAGGCUGAGAGAGGAGGAGGAGUCCGUGUUUGAAACUUUCACUCCUCUGAACAUCCUGGGGAAAUCCCUGGACUGAAGGCAGCAAAGGGAUCAGUGGAGUGAGAGAAAUGUUCAAACCAAGAGAGUUCUCAGGAGCUGACUGUGGUGUGAAGGUGGCAGAAUUCAGAGUACAGGAACAAGCAGAUAAAUCUAUCCCAGGAUAAACUGUGACUGUACAGGCUGUGCUCCAUGAGCAGGGACAGCAUCAGGUGUACAGACCAACUCUUAGAACAGCUGGAAUUCCAGUUUAGCAGCAGACACAGAACUGGAUGAACCUGGCUGAAAACUUCCUGGCUUCAAGUAAUUUUCUGACUGGUUUAAUAAAUGGUUUCACAGUCAUUAAAGGCAAGAAAAAAAAUAGAGAAAAAUAAAAGGCUGCUGCUUCUCCA